GUCUAUGGCCAUACCACCCUCAACGCGCCCAAUCUCGUCUGAUCUCGGGAGCUAAGCAGGGUCGGGCCUGGUUAGUACUUGGAUGGGAGUGUUUUUAUCUUUUGUAUAGACAGGAUCUCACUGUGC
rnacentral:rRNA from 1 species